rnacentral:rRNA from 1 species
UUCGCCCUUACGGCUACCUUGUUACGACUUAGCCCCAGUCAUCGGUUUUGCCCUAGGGCGCUGCUCGCGCUCACGCACUUCAGGCACUCCCGACUCCCAUGGCUUGACGGGCGGUGUGUACAAGGCCCGGGAACGUAUUCACCGCGCCGUGGCUGAUGCGCGAUUACUAGCGAAUCCAGCUUCAUGGAGUCGGGUUGCAGACUCCAAUCCGAACUGAGACAGGCUUUCGGGUUCCGCUCCCUGUCGCCAGGUGGCUUCCCGCUGUACCUGCCAUUGUAACACGUGUGUCGCCCCGGACGUAAGGGCCGUGCUGAUUUGACGUCAUCCCCGCCUUCCUCGCAGCUUGCGCCGGCAGUCCCGCCAGAGUCCCCAGCUUUGCCUGUUGGCAACUGGCGGUAGGGGUUGCGCUCGUUAUGGCACUUAAGCCGACACCUCACGGCACGAGCUGACGACAACCAUGCAGCACCUCGUCGCAGGUCCGUAGACGGGCAUCCUUUCAGACACCCUUCCUGCAACGUUUGAGCCCGGGUAAGGUUCCUCGCGUAUCAUCGAAUUAAACCACAUGUUCCUCCGCUUGUGCGGGCCCCCGUCAAUUCCUUUGAGUUUCACCGUUGCCGGCGUACUCCCCAGGUGGAGCGCUUAACGCUUUCGCUGUGGCACCCAGGGGCCAUUCCCCCC